GCCGACAUAGCUCAUCUGGUAGAGCAACACAUUCGUAAUGUGUAGGUGCCCGGUUCGACUCCGGGUGUCGGCUCCA
rnacentral:tRNA from 1 species